GUGCUUGCUUCGGCAGCACAUACACUAAAAUUGGAAUGAUACAGAGAAGAUUAGCAUGGCUCCUGCACAAGGAUGACACGCAAAUUCGUGAAGUGUUCUAUAUUAUU
ensembl:snRNA U6 U6 spliceosomal RNA